rnacentral:rRNA from 1 species
GACGAACGCUGGCGGCGUGCUUAACACAUGCAAGUCGAACGGAAAGGCCCUGCUUUUGUGGGGUGCUCGAGUGGCGAACGGGUGAGUAACACGUGAGUAACCUGCCCUUGACUUUGGGAUAACUUCAGGAAACUGGGGCUAAUACCGGGUAGGAGCUCCUGCUGCAUGGUGGGGGUUGGAAAGUUUCGGCGGUUGGGGAUGGACUCGCGGCUUAUCAGCUUGUUGGUGGGGUAGUGGCUUACCAAGGCUUUGACGGGUAGCCGGCCUGAGAGGGUGACCGGCCACAUUGGGACUGAGAUACGGCCCAGACUCCUACGGGAGGCAGGAGUGGUGAAUAUUGCACAAUGGGCGGAAGCCUGAUGCAGCAACGCCGCGUGCGGGAUGACGGCCUUCGGGUUGUAAACCGCUUGCGCCUGUGACGAAGCGUGAGUGACGGUAAUGGGUAAAGAAGCACCGGCUAACUCCGUG